rnacentral:sRNA from 1 species
GCCAGGUGUGGUGACCCAUGCCUGUAAUCCCAGCAGCUAGGGAGGCUUAGAUAGGAGGAUUGCAAGUUCAAGGCCAGCCUCAGAAACAGCAAGGCACUAAGCAACUCGGUGAGUCCCUGUCUCUA